rnacentral:rRNA from 1 species
AACGAACGCUGGCGGCAUGCCUAACACAUGCAAGUCGAACGAGACCUUCGGGUCUAGUGGCGCACGGGUGCGUAACGCGUGGGAACCUGCCCUUAGGUUCGGAAUAACUCCCCGAAAGGGGUGCUAAUACCGGAUAAUGUCUUCGGACCAAAGAUUUAUCGCCUUUGGAUGGGCCCGCGUUGGAUUAGCUAGUUGGUAGGGUAAAAGCCUACCAAGGCGACGAUCCAUAGCUGGUCUGAGAGGAUGAUCAGCCACACUGGGACUGAGACACGGCCCAGACUCCUACGGGAGGGAGCAGGGGGGAAUAUUGGACAAUGGGCGAAAGCCUGAUCCAGCAAUGCCGCGGGAGUGAUGAAGGCCUUAGGGUUGUAAAGCUCUUUUACCCGGGAUGAUAAUGACAGUAACGGGAGAAUAAGCUCCGGCUAACUCCGUG